UAGCUCAGUUGGUAGAGCAGUUGACUUUUAAUCAAUUGGUCGCAGGUUCGAAUCCUGCACGACCCACCAAUAUACAAAGUGGUAACUGGUAGAGAAUAUGAAGGAUAACGUUGCUUUAGCAACGGCCGAAGGGCGAGGCGAAGCCGAGUCAUCCUGCACGACCCACCA
rnacentral:sRNA from 1 species